GGUGGUCUCAAAAAGGCCUCGGGGUUGCUACGGACCACCACCCAGGAGCUGGAGAAGGAAGAGGGUCUGGAGACCUUGCAGGCGGUGGAGCGCCAGGUCAGCCGGCACCGGCAGCUCAUGCAAGAGGUUCUGCGCGACGCCCAGCUGGUCAGCCUGCAGCGGGAAGGAGGGGCCACCCUGGCCAGGCUGCGGAAGGAGGCCGCCCGGCUCGGCUUCACUCCUGACGUCCGGCACAGUUUCGAGGGCGCCCUGGCCGUCUACAACCUGGUGGAAGAGGACAUCCACACGCUGGUGACCAAAUCCAACGGUUGCUUGGAGCACUUGGAGUUCCUCAAGAAGAU